rnacentral:misc_RNA from 1 species
GAUGAAGAACGUAGCGAAAUGCGAUAAUUAAUGUGAAUUGCAGAAUUUAGUGAAUCAUCGAGUCUUUGAACGCACAUUGCGCCUCAUGGUAUUCCGUGAGGCAUGCCUGUCUGAGCGUCAACAACACCACUCAAGCAUUGCUCUCUUGCUCUGCUUGGUCCAUGUCAGGGAAGCGGUUGGGCCUGUCCAACUGCCCCUUGAAAAGCAAUAGAUGGUCAGGUUGUCACCUUAAGCCAAACGUCAUAUGAUUCUUAUCGUUCGUUUGUCUAUCUGACUUCUUGACAGUUGUUGAACCCAACAGCACCAUGCUGUUUAUUCUGACUUGACCUCAGAUCAGGUAGGGAUACCCGCUGAACUUAAGCAUAUCAAUAAGCGGAGGA